rnacentral:rRNA from 1 species
CGGGAUGAGAAGUCUGACGGAGCCCGCCGCGUGAGUGAUGAGGAUUUCGGUCUGUAAAGCUCUGUUGUUUAUGACGAACGUGCUCUGGGUGAACCAUGCAUUGCAUUGACGGUCCUAAACAAGGAACCCCCGGCUAAUUACUUGCCACCACCCGCGGUAAUACUUAGGUGGCGAGCGUUGUCCGGAAUUAUGGGGCGUAAAGAGGAUGUAGGCGGUUUAAUAAAUCGAGCGUGAAACUGCGGGGCUCACCCCCGAAUGGCGCUGGAAACUGUUAGGCUUGAGUGCAGGAGAGGAAAGGGGAAUUCCCCGUGUAGCGGUGAAAUGCGUAGAUAUUGGGAGGAACACCAAUGGCGAAGGCGCCUUUCUGGACUGUGUCUGACGCUCAUAUGCGAAAGCCAGGGUAGCAAACGGGAUUAGAUACCCCGGUAGUCCUGGCCGUAAACGAUGGGUACUAGGUGUAGGAGGUAUCUCCCCCUUCUGUGCCGGAGUUAACGCAAUAUUUACCCCCCCUGGAGAGUACGGCCGCAGGGUUGAAACUCAAAGUUUUUUGGGGG